UUUCGUCAUGCAUCUCCCAAAUCCACUGUUCCAAUCCUAGACCCCUCCCCUAUAUUAACUCAUGUAUUUGGGUUGGGAAAAAUAAAUAAAUAAAAACAUCUUCAUGAUUUAGCAUUGCAAACACAUGUAGUUUCAAUUUGAUUUAGAGUCUUUUUAGUCUUGAAAAUGGAAGGUUUUGAGAGUAUUGAUGAAGACGAAGACAGCCAAGCUGAUGAUCAUGUAAAUGAGAAUCAGCAAGCUGAUUCUGAAUAAUUAUAUCAAUAAUUAACCAAGAACUUGUAGCAUCUUCGAGGUGAUAGGCAUUGCUCAUACUGCAUAUGUUUAUCACUGUCGCGUCGAUAAGCAUUGCUCUUACUGCGUUUGCUUAUCACCGCCAACAUCCCUGCAUUAUAAAUUAAGAUCUCAUAUCCCCAGCUAGGCAGCGGAUUCUUAUACAAGGAGAUUUGCUACACUUUUUUAUUUUUAUUUAUUUAUUUAUUUUUGCGGUUCAUUUCUGUGUUCUUUCUUUUUCUUGCCGUUUUUAUUUUCUGUUGUGAAGCUGCAGUUUGUUCACUUCACUUCUUUGAUAUGUUUCAGUUUUACUAUUUCCAAAUUGUAAUGAAGAAAUACAAUACUUUGUUAGCU